rnacentral:rRNA from 1 species
AACGGGGGGAGCUAGCGUUGUUCAUCAUGAUUGGGCGUAAAGGGCGCGUAGACGGUUUUUUUUUAUGUUUUUUCAAAUAAAGAAACUUGAGUGCAGAAGAGGAUUGGGUACCUUUAAAGUAGAGGUGACAUUCAAUAAUAUUAAUAGGGACCAUCAACGGGCGAAAGCGCUUGUCUGGGAUGCACUGACGUGAGGCGCGAAAGCAUGGGGUAUCGAAUGGG